rnacentral:lncRNA from 1 species
GGGGAAGGUUGGGUAGGGCUCCAGAGAAGAAAAGGCCAAAGGUGGGUUAGUAUCUGGGCAACAGUGUCCUGUCCCUGGCAGAAGCCCAGCGAGGGUUUCCAGGGACAGGUUUCAGAAGCUGUGCUGGAACAGGGAGAGGUGAGCACUCCUCUGCCCGCCAGGUCUUACUUGCUGCUGGUUCUCCAAUACUUUUAUUUAUAUUAUUUUAUUUUUGGUACCAGGGAUUGAACUCAGGGGCACUUGGCCACUAAGCCACAUCCCCAGCCCUAUUUUGUAUUUAUUUAGAGACAGGUUCUCACUGAGUUGCUUAGUGCCUCACUGUUGCUGAGGCUGCCUUUGAACUUACAAUCCUCCUGUCUCAGCCUCCAGAGGUGCUGGGAUUACAGGUGUGCGCCACCACGCGCGGCUUCAGUACUUUUAUUUUUUUUCUUUUGGGUACUGGAUUCUUUUGAACCCAGAGGCGCUUAACCUCUGAGCCACAUCUCCAGCCCUUUUAUUUUUUAUUUUAAGAUAGUAUCUUGCUGAGUUGCCCAGGCUAGCCUUAAACUUGCAAUCCUCCUGCCUCAGCCUCCCAAGUAGCUGGGAUUAUAGGCUUGCACCACUGCUCCUAGCCAUUACUUUUAUUCAACUGCAGACAUUUAUCUUAUUCCUACCUUGAAAUUCCUUUAAAACCUAGACACAGAGGAGUCAUGGGAGAGGGAAGAAAGAAAUCUGUCAUGUUUUCUCCCUUUGGGUAACAAUAUCAUGGGGUGGGUUUGGACGUCAGAUUUCAGGAAAUACUGAUAUAGUUCAUUCAUUCAUUUUAUUCAUGCAACAAAAGUUUUAGGGGUGAAUCACACCUGUAAUCCCUAUUACCAGGAGGCUGAGGCAGGGAAUCACGAGGCCAGCUUGAGCAAUUUAGCAAAACCCCGUGUCUCAAAAAUAUUUAAAAAGGUUGGGGAUGUAGCUCAGAAGUGGCGUGUCUCUGGAUUCAAUUCCCAGUAUGAGAAAAUAAAUGUUUUAGAGCACCACUUAUAAGCCCCACAUUGUGCUUGGUGCUGGAAUAAAUUAGUAUGGCAUGGCCUUGCUCUCAAAAAUCACACAGUUCAGUGGGAGAGAUCACCUUCUGGGUUUUUUUUUUUUUUUUUUUGGUGCUGGGGAUUGAGCACAGGGGUGCUUAAAAACAGCCUCCAUGCCCAGUGGGGGCAGGGGGGCUUUUAAUUUUGAGACAGAAUCUUCUUCUAAGUUGCUUAGACACCGGCUAAGUUGCUGAGGCUGGCCUGACUUGUGAUCUUUCUGCUUCAGCCUCUUGAGUUGCUGGGAUUGCAGGGGUGCAUCACUCUCCCUGGUGGGAGAUGGCCUUCUUAAAACCUAUUCUCACCAUUUCCUGAGUGCUUGCUAUGCAAUAGGUGCCCCACAAGAACUUCACAGAAAGUGUUCUAUUUAAUGUUUACAACAAGUCUAUGAUCUAGGUAACACUGGCCCCACACAUCAAUUAUUAUAAGAUGUGGAGGUGGAUCCAAAGUCACUCAACUAGUAAACUAUAUAAAUGGAGUUGAAACCCAAAUUUAUAUGAUUCCAAGUUCUGUGCUGUUAACCACUGCCCUGGGUGGUCUCUACGGCUUGAAGAAAAGACGGGUUCAUUAAAUGCAGUAAAUGUUCACAACAGUGAGACUGUCUUUAG